rnacentral:rRNA from 1 species
CGGCGGACGGGUGAGUAAUGCCUAGGAAUCUGCCUGGUAGUGGGGGACAACGUUUCGAAAGGAACGCUAAUACCGCAUACGUCCUACGGGAGAAAGCAGGGACCUUCGGGCCUUGCGCUAUCAGAUGAGCCUAGGUCGGAUUAGCUAGUUGGUGAGGUAAUGGCUCACCAAGGCGACGAUCCGUAACUGGUCUGAGAGGAUGAUCAGUCACACUGGAACUGAGACACGGUCCAGACUCCUACGGGAGGCAGCAGGG